GCCAGGUGUGGUGGUGUGCACCUGUAGUCCUAGCUACUUGGGAGGCUGAGGCAAGGGGCUCACUUGAGCCCAGGAGUUCCAGAUUACAAUGAGCUAUCAUUGCGCCAUCAUUGCACCACUGCAUUCUAACCUGGGUGACAGAGUGAGACCCUGUCUCUA
ensembl:misc_RNA Metazoa_SRP Metazoan signal recognition particle RNA